CAAUGCUCCCGCCGGCGACCGGCGCACGGGUGAGUAACACGUAUGGAACCUGCCCGCCACAGGGGGAUAACCCGGGGAAACCCGGCCUAAUACCCCAUGCCGCCCGGACCGGGCAUCUGGUCCGGGCGAAAGGAGGAAUCCGGUGGCGGCUGGGCAUGCGGCGCAUUAGCUUGACGGCGGGGUAACGGCCCACCGAGGCGACGAUGCGUAGGGGUUCUGAGAGGAAGGCCCCCCACACUGGUACUGAGACACGGACCAGACUCCUACGGAAGGCAGCAG
rnacentral:rRNA from 1 species